rnacentral:rRNA from 1 species
AUACGUAGGGGGCGAGCGUUGUCCGGAAUGAUUGGGCGUAAAGGGCGCGUAGGCGGCUUUGCAAGUCAGUAGUGGAAGUCCAUUUUUCAAGGAUGGAAGUGCUACAGAAACUGCGGAGCUUGAGUGCAGGAGAGGUUAUCGGAAUUCCCGGUGUAGCGGUGAAAUGCGUAGAGAUCGGGAGGAACACCAGUGGCGAAGGCGGGUAACUGGACUGUAACUGACACUGAGGCACGAAAGCGUGGGGAGCAAACAGGAUUAGAUACCCUGGUAGUCCACGCCGUAAACGAUGAGCACUAGCUGUUGGGGCCGAAUGGUCUCAGUGGCGCAGUUAACGCAAUAAGUGCUCCGCCUGGGGAGUACGCGCGCAAGCGUAAAACUCAAAGGAAUUGACGGGG